AUACGGAGGGUGCAAGCGUUAAUCGGAAUUACUGGGCGUAAAGCGCGCGUAGGCGGUUUGAUAAGUCGGAUGAGAAAUCCCCGGGCUCAACCUGGGAAUUGCAUUCGAUACUGUCAGGCUUGAGUGUGGUAGAGGGAAGUGGAAUUUCCGGUGUAGCGGUGAAAUGCGUAGAUAUCGGAAGGAACACCAGUGGCGAAGGCGGCUUCCUGGACCAACACUGACGCUGAGGUGCGAAAGCGUGGGGAGCAAACAGGAUUAGAUACCCUAGUAGUCC
rnacentral:rRNA from 1 species